AGAGUUUGAUCAUGGCUCAGAAUCAACGCUGGCGGCGUGCCUAACACAUGCAAGUCGCACGAGAAAGGGUAGCAAUACCUGAGUACAGUGGCGCACGGGUGAGUAACACGUGAAUCAUCUACCUUCGAGUGGGGAAUAACUGAGAGAAAUCUCAGCUAAUACCGCAUAAUACCUACGGGUCAAAGCAGCAAUGCGCUUGAAGAGGAGUUCGCGGCAGAUUAGUUAGUUGGCGGGGUAAUGGCCCACCAAGACGAUGAUCUGUAUCCGGCCUGAGAGGGCGCACGGACACACUGGAACUGAAACACGGUCCAGACUCCUACGGGAGGCAGCAGUGGGGAAUUUUGCGCAAUGGGGGAAACCCUGACGCAGCAACGCCGCGUGGAGGAUGAAAUCCCUUGGGAUGUAAACUCCUUUCGAUCGGGACGAUUAUGACGGUACCGGAAGAAGAAGCCCCGGCUAACUUCGUGCCAGCAGCCGCGGUAAUACGAGGGGGGCAAGCGUUGUUCGGAAUUAUUGGGCGUAAAGGGCGCGUAGGCGGUCUGACAAGUCUGAUGUGAAAUCUCUGGGCUCAACCCAGAGUCUGCAUUAGAAACUGUCGGGCUUGAGUAUGGGAGAGGUGAGUGGAAUUUCCGGUGUAGCGGUGAAAUGCGUAGAUAUCGGAAGGAACACCUGUGGCGAAAGCGGCUCACUGGACCAUAACUGACGCUGAGGCGCGAAAGCUAGGGGAGCAAACAGGAUUAGAUACCCUAGUAGUCC
rnacentral:rRNA from 1 species